rnacentral:rRNA from 1 species
CAGCAGCCACGGUAAUACGUAGGUGGCAAGCGUUGUCCGGAAUUAUUGGGCGUAAAGGGCUCGCAGGCGGUUUCUUAAGUCUGAUGUGAAAGCCCCCGGCUCAACCGGGGAGGGUCAUUGGAAACUGGGAAACUUGAGUGCAGAAGAGGAGAGUGGAAUUCCACGUGUAGCGGUGAAAUGCGUAGAGAUGUGGAGGAACACCAGUGGCGAAGGCGACUCUCCGGUCUGUAACUGACGCUGAGGAGCGAAAGCGUGGGGAGCGAACAGGAUUAGAUACCCGCGUAGUCCCUGUCUCUAUACA